AAAACUAUUGAUAGUAGAGUGAAACCAUUUGUGUGCUUAGUUGCUGUAUUAGAGCCUGAGAAACAGAUAACGGAAUUCCCAACAACAGAAGCCCAGCCUCGGAGCAGACCCCAGCUUCAGCUCCUCACCAGUUCUCAGUUACGUCAUCCUAAAGAAUCAGUCAGUACUCCUUACUGUUAAUUCAACAAAUAAUUGCUGAGUGUUUAUUUUUGAAGGCCAGAACGUUUUCAUUUGCUGAAAAACAGCAUAUAAACACUACUCUGUAUUUCCUUGUGGCAGAGUUUGUCAAGAUAAUAAGUUAAUAGUCAUAUAUUAUGAUAAAACACUUUAGUGAAAAGUAAAGCAGAAAAGGAAGCUAGCUAUACAGAGGAUAGUAACAAAGGUUAAUGUAGUGGUGAUAGGAUGGUUCGAGCCUAACUGUGAACAUGCUGUUUGUAUAAAGAUGAACAACCAAUCACACAGACACAGGGAAAGUGCUUCUGGCAAAAGAAGGAGAGGGUGCCAAAACAUUAGAGAGAUGUAGUAUUCUCAGCAAGCAUGCAAGCCAGUAAGGGAAAGUAGAAGGUAAAGUCAGAGACAUAAAGGAAGACUGAGACUGUUAAGUAUGCUGUUUAAGGAUUAUAGCUAUUACUCUAAGACAGUGGUUAUGACCCCAACCAUAAAAUUAUUUUCCUUACUACUUCAGAACUAAUUUUGCUACUGUUAUGAAUUAUAUGUAAGUAUCUGUUUUCUGGUGGUCUUAGGUGAUCUCUGUGAAAGGGUAAUUCAGCUCCCAAAGAGGUUUAAGACCCAUUGCUCUAAGGUAUGAGAAGAAAGCACCAGCUUUCUUGAGCUGGUCUAGUUUGAAAAGAAUGCUUCGCUGCUGUAAGAUAGGAGCAGGCAAUUGUUGUAGGAUGAUGCUGAGAGGAAAAAAAUGGCGGCUUGGGCCAGGUAGGUGAUUAUGGAGAGAGAGAGAGUGUGUGUGUGUGUUUGUGUGUGUGUGUGUGAAUUAACAAUUAGAUUGCUAUACUUUGACAACAGCUUAAGAAGGAUUUGUUGUCAUUAAAAAAAGAAAAGGAAGAACCAGCUUUAUGGCCUCAGAAAAUAGUUAGGAGGUGUCUUUCUGUAUUGAGAUGGAAAACCUAGAAUUUUUGGUCAGGGCAGGAGAACUCACAUUCCUAUGAUAAAGAUACUGAGUUUCUAGAACACCAUUCUCUGGUUGGUUGAUUGGUUGGUUGUUUUUGGGAGAGUGAUAACAUAAGUUUUAUUGAAUGCAUGUCAUUACAUGUUUUUCAAAAUAAAGAGACCCUAAGUGUAAAUUGUGGACAUGUUUGUCAACAUGAUUAUUGGUAUAUUAUUUGUGACAAAUCUAUCACAACAAUGCAUGGUGUAGUUUUUUGGGAGGAAGGGGCUUGUUUUAUUCUGGUUUGUUUGUUUUUAGACAUGACUUCUCUGUCUAGCCCUGGCUGGCUAUCCUGAAACUCACUCUGCAGACCAUAUUUACCUCAGACUCAAAGAUUCAUCUGCCUGCUUCUGCCUCCCAAUUGCUGGGACUAGAGGUGUGCAGCUCCACCACCUGACUACCUAAUUACUUUAUAAUUUUAAUUAUUCCUUGGUCAUGGAUUAAGUAUUGACCCGCUUCAUAGCAUAUUUCUCAAAAGUUCUUUAGAGUGUGGAUAUAUUUGUACUCAGUAAAGGGCUCAUAAAAACAGUGGCAUGUAAGAAGUAGAAUUUUAGUGAUAACUGGUUUGGAAGUACAGUUUCGUUGUUCUUUUUUGGUUCAUUCACUUCCAAGUGACUAGUAAUAGUCCACCUCUGCUCUAAGUUCCCCAGCCAGCGGGAAUUCUUUCUAUACUGCAGACGAGGCUAGGCAGCUGGAGCGUCUCAGCAUUCCUAGGUGUCUUGAGCUAUGUGUAUCAAUCACCAAUGGUCCCUAUAAAAAGUUCCUUUAAUUGUGGUGGUUUACUGAACUAAUCUUCCUGUGUAUAAGACUGGUCUGAAACUCGAGUUCCCAAGUACUGGAACUACAGCCAUGUGGCACUAUGCCAGGCUUUGACUUUGCAUUCAUGCCUUUCUUUGUGAAGAUUGAAUUUGGGUCAGUUGGAAUAUGCCUGAAGUACAAUGACCAUACAUGAAAUAAAAGUUUUAUUGG
rnacentral:lncRNA from 1 species